rnacentral:rRNA from 1 species
AACCCUUUGUCUUUAGUUGCUACGCAAGAGCACUCUAAAGAGACUGCCGGUGACAAACCGGAGGAAGGUGGGGAUGACGUCAAGUCCUCAUGGCCCUUAUGGGUAGGGCUUCACACGUCAUACAAUGGUGCAUACAGAGGGUUGCCAACCCGCAGGGGGAGCUAAUCUCAGAAAAUGCAUCGUAGUCCGGAUCGUAGUCUGCAACUCGACUACGUGAAGCUGGAAUCGCUAGUAAUCGUGGAUCAGAAUGUCACGGUGAAUACGUUCCCGGGUCUU